rnacentral:rRNA from 1 species
UACGUAGGGGGCGAGCGUUGUCCGGAUUUAUUGGGCCGUAAAACGCUUGUAGGUGGCUACGUCCAAGUCGGACGUGAAAUCUCCCGGCUUAACUGGGAGGGGUCGCUCGAUACUGGCGAGCUCGAGGCAGGUAGGGGGAAGCGGAAUUCCCGGUGUAGUGGUGGAAUGCGUAGAUAUCGGGAGGAACACCACGUGGCGGA